rnacentral:lncRNA from 1 species
UGCGGGCUGGCAAAUCCACAGAAACCUAUUCGGCGACAGGCAUUUAAUCUGCAAUUGGAGGUAAACAAAAUUGGGGUCCAGUUCAGGUGAAAAGAAAAAAACGUUUUACAAAUCUCCAAUCAGCCGAAUGUGGCUCUGAGACCCUGUAUGUGGACACAACCCUCCAGU